UCAUAACUAGUUCAUAAACUGCUGUCAGACUAUGUGUGGAGAAUACUUGCCCUUGUGUUGUUUCCUAACAGAAGGCAAGAAGUCCCUCCCACAGCUUCUAAUAAAGGCUAGAAACCAUUAAAAGCACUGACCUGGCUGUCUCUGAACAUAUUAGAAGCCACUUUACAGCCCUUUAAAUCUCACAGAGACAAAGCAGAAGCUGUCAUGCAUUACAGAAGCAAGGACUGAAACAAUGGCAAUGCAUUUAGCUGACUAAAAUGAGAGGCCUCACCUCUCAGCUUUUAGGACUUCAAGGAGCUGUUGCUAACACCUUGGUGCCAGAUACCACAGCUCACCUUCAGGGGUCUGGUGGAGUCCAUGCCUCGAUGGAUCAGCAGCAGCAAUAGGGCGACCAACACAAUAUUAAACAGCACCCAAGGAGGCAGUGAAAAGCUGUGAUGGAUUUACCCCAUAUGGUGAAGUGCAGAAACAGAGAGCAGGCCUGAGAGAAUACCCAUUUGCUUUCUAAGUACAGUGACCUGGAUUGGAUCUGCGUGAGUGUGACUUUGUGCAGUGAUGUGUGGGGGAAAAGGAGCUCAGAUAACUCUGAGAAAUAAAAACGUGACAGAGGAUGCAGUGUUAUAGCAACCAUGUGAAGCAGGAUUCUAAUUAAUCACAGGAACAGUCUUAGUCACAACAGAUCGUCUCCAAACAGCAAGUGUUUUGAUGAGCGCUGCUGUUCAGAAAAAUCACAAGCAGACUGUCCAAGUCUUGGGGUUUGUUGUUUCUAGCUACAUAGCAUUGUUCCUGUCCACAGUAAUCCAAAACAAACUCAUCCAAAGCUCUACAGCUUAGAUCAGUCGCUAUUUAAAUCAACUGCUGCAGCAACACAUUUGCAAAUGGCUUGAACGCAUCUAACAUCUGAAACAUGAAAGCUUAAAAUUUUUUGUGUGACAAAUAAAUCUUUAGGGACCUAAAGUACAACCAUUGAUGUUAUUAUGCUGAUGCUAAGCACCGUGACAUGCGCUUAGGUAAUGUAAAAGGUAUUUGUGCUGUUUGACUCACACUCUUAGACCCUUGUCAGAUAAGUCCCACCAGCCUCGAUAAACCCGAGGUUCCCCUUUCACAACAUGGCAUGCUUCUCUUGGACUUCAAAAACACACGCACAAAAAAAACAAUCCUUUGAAUUUUUGUGCAAAUAGACUUUUUGUGAAAACUGUAGAUCAGCCAUUGCAAAACUUGUGAAAUUAUUUAUGUAUCGGUUUCUGAUGGUGCUCAGUCUCAGCUGCCAUUUGAUGACCUUGACGCGGGUACACCUGUGGAGAUUCCAGUGAGGAUCCAAUUAAGAGACAACGUACACUGGUGACAACAUUUUUCUUUUGCAGCUUCAGCUAGUGCAUCUCCGUUUUGCUCUUUUUUUACUUGCGUGCAGCCAACACAGGCUGAAAAGCCACUGAUCUCUACUACUGGGAAACUAAAAACUUUCAGGUCCCAAAAAUUCUUGUCCUUACCUACUGCUUCUGCAUUUUCAUCGGAAUACAGCUAGAUAUUAGAUAUUGCCAAAGAAUUCUCAUUUCCAGAAAUAGAAGUGAGUUGAAAUGUUUUGCUUCAAAUAAAGACUGAGAACAAAGAAAGCUGACAUUAUGUAUUGGUGUGUUGAGUUUGACUGAUUCAGCAUGUCAACUUUAGCAAUAAUGCAAGACAGCAAUACUGCAAAAGAAGCACUAUUUAUCAUCGUGCUUUGAAAGUAGGUGAAAUAGAUUGAUAAAGUCCCAGUAACCUAGGCCUACAGACUAGUCAAUGACCUCAUGGUAACCACAGGUCACUAAGGAAAAAUGUAAAUAGUGAAUGGUUGCUGGAGGUUCCUGGCAAUCACAAGGCAAAAUUGGUCCCAAAGAAGCAUACAGUGCUGCACUGAAAACAGACAGUGACCGGAAAUAGAUAGUCUAUCUGAUAUCCUGUGUUGGUGUUGUUCCUGCAUCAUCAUCAUAAUGUUUGGCCUGGAUAAACAUUGCAACUGAAAAAUAAUGUGUGGAAGAAAAAAUACCCUUGUUUAUAUAAAACUCUCUUCUGGAACAAAGCAUUCCCAGUGUUUUCUUUAU